rnacentral:lncRNA from 1 species
GAUAUUAGUAACUUGCUGAGCCUGUAAAGUCUAUUCCAUCUUUUUUUUUCAAAUAUAGAAGAAUAUAUAGAGGCUAGAAUGGAGCUGUGAGGAGCAUAGAAUUUUAAAGGACAUUUACUCAGUUUGUUUUUGAAUAAAAAAAUGAUUUUGAUUUUGUUCUACCAAAAAAAUAAUUUUGAUUUAUGUUAUUUAAUAUUAUGAGUUAUUAGUGAACUUUUUUAUUUG